ensembl:lncRNA
GGGAGACAGUACAACAGGGAGGUGGUUCCCAGGGGAGACAGUACAACAGGGAGGUGGUUCCUGGGGGAGACAGUACAACAACAGGGAGGUGGUUCCCAGGGGAGACAGUACAACAGGGAGGUGGUUCCUGGGGGAGACAGUACAACAACAGGGAGGUGGUUCCCAGGGGAGACAGUACAACAACAGGGAGGUGGUUCCUGGGGGAGACAGUACAACAACAGGGAGGUGGUUCCCAGGGGAGACAGUACAACAGGGAGGUGGUUCCCAGGGGAGACAGUACAACAGGGAGGUGGUUCCUGGGGGAGACAGUACAACAACAGUAUGGAGAUGUUUCUACUCACUUCUCUAAGUCACUCCGGGUAAAAGUUUUGAUAAAUGAAUUUGAUGUAAACACUGAACUGUAAAUUAGUUAAUGGGAUUGUAACUGUAAGUUAGUUCAUGGGAUUUUUACCCCCAAAACUAUUGUUUAGUAUUUUUCCACUGAUAAUACAGUCUCAAAAAGUGAACAUGUCAACAGGGAUGUUUUCAGGAACGAGCACUAAAAAGUCACAUGUUGAUGCGAUUUGCAGUAUUUUUCCCCAGUUAACUGUUGAAUUAUUAUCUAAAAAGGCAAGUCUCCAACUAAAUGAGGUAACAAAGGACAAGUCCCAAAUGUAACCGUAUUACCCAUUGUGUCUGAAAUGUUGAUCUGACGUGUCUCUGGUCCAAAGUAGUGCACUUUAUAGGGAAUAAGGUGAGAGUUAGGACACAUGCAUUGGUUCAAGUGUGCUGUGUGUUACAUACGUUAGGACAGUGGCUCCCAACUACGCUCCUCAGGGACCCCCAAUAGUACACAUUUUCAUUGUAGCCCCAGCCAAGCACAGCUGAUUCAACUUGUCAACUAAUUAUCAGGCUCUCAUUGAGUUGAAUUGGGUGUGCUUGUCCAGGAAUACAACAAAAAUGUGUGCUGUUGGGGGUACUGGAGGACCGGAGUUGGGAGCCACUGCUUUAGGAGAUGCAUGACUGAAACAGAAACUAUAACCACGGUUUUCAUAGCCACAUGCAUUACUUGAGAAACAUAUUUUAUUGACCAAUUAAGUUGUAUCAUUUUAGAAUUAUAACUUUUUAUUAUUUCCGUUAUUAUUUUUGUUAUUAACAUGAUGGUAUUUCACUGAAAGAUAAGGAAUUGAACUGUUUUUAAGACUGUUUAUUUUUAUUCUGUGUAUUUUGCUGUAUUGAUACUUAUUAAAUGUUUACAUGUACGCCUCUUGGACACAAUCCGGCAGGUGUUUUUUUAUGUGCAGUAUGUGCCUCUGAUAUCAUUUCUUUAAGUGCGUCAGUAUUUUGCGGAUUGCACAAGACCAAAAAAACUACAAACAAAUUAAGAAAUAAAGAAGUAGACUAAGUAGGAUGGAAAUUAUGCAAAGCAUCUAACUUGUGUUGAGUGAUUUAUUUCCCUGAGCUUUGAUUUAGUUUUGACUUAUUUAUAUACAGCUAAUGGAGUUGUUGCUGCUGGCUCUGUCCUGAGGGUCAGGUUUUUCAUAAGUGAUCUAUCUGGAUAAUGACUACCUGACAGGCUUAAAUAUAAACUGUAUACUGAACAAAAAUAUUAACACCUCAUGUAAAGUUUUGGUCCCA